rnacentral:rRNA from 1 species
AAUGAACGUUGGCGGCGUGGAUUAGGCAUGCAAGUCGAGCGAGAAGAGUUUGGUAGCUUGCUAUUGAACUCGGAAAGCGGCGAAAGGGAGAGUAACGCGUAGUUACGUGCCCAGGGGUUCGGAAUAGCCACGGGAAACUGUGGGUAAUGCCGAAUAACAUCUCCGGAUCAAAGGUGUGAUUCCGCCCCUGGAGCGGACUGCGUCCUACUAGCUAGUUGGCGGGGUAAUGGCCCACCAAGGCAACAAUGGGUAGCGGGUGUGAGAGCAUGACCCGUCUCACUGGGACUGAGACACUGCCCAGACACCUACGGGUGGCCGCAGUCGAGAAUCUUCGGCAAUGGGCGAAAGCCUGACCGAGCGACGCCGCGUGCGGGAUGAAGGCCCUCGGGUUGUAAACCGCUGUCGUAGGGGAGGAAGGCUCCGUGAAGAACGGGGUUUGACCUAUCCUAGGAGGAAGUACGGGCUAAGUUCGUGCCAGCAGCCGCCGUAACAC